rnacentral:rRNA from 1 species
AUUGAACGCUGGCGGCAUGCCUUACACAUGCAAGUCGAACGGUAACAGGUCUUCGGAUGCUGACGAGUGGCGAACGGGUGAGUAAUACAUCGGAACGUGCCCGAUCGUGGGGGAUAACGCAGCGAAAGCUGUGCUAAUACCGCAUACGAUCUACGGAUGAAAGCGGGGGAUCGCAAGACCUCGCGCGGACGGAGCGGCCGAUGCCAGAUUAGGUAGUUGGUGGGAUAAAAGCUUACCAAGCCGACGAUCUGUAGCUGGUCUGAGAGGACGACCAGCCACACUGGGACUGAGACACGGCCCAGACUCCUACGGGAGGCAGCAGUGGGGAAUUUUGGACAAUGGGCGCAAGCCUGAUCCAGCCAUGCCGCGUGCAGGAUGAAGGCCUUCGGGUUGUAAACUGCUUUUGUACGGAACGAAAAAGCUCUCUCUACUACAGGGGGUGAAUGACGGUACCGUAAGAAUAAGCACCGGCUAACUACGUGCCAGCCGCCGCCGUAAAAC